rnacentral:rRNA from 1 species
GUAAUAGUUAUGUACUUGAAACCCAAAGAAUUUGGCGGUAUUUUAUUCUUUUUAGAGGAACCUGUCCUGUAAUUGAUAGUCCACGAUAGAUAAUUACUUAUUCUUGUAUUCAAUUUGUAUACCUCCGUCAUCAGGAUAUCUUUUUAGAGAUAAUAUCCAAGUAAUAUAAAAUAUAAUAUGUCAGGUCAAGGUGCAAUUUAUGAAUAAGUAGAGAUGGGUUACAAUAAAUUUAUUUAUACGGAUUUAUAUUAAUAUUAGUGUAAUGAAGGAGGAUUUAAAAGUAAAAUUGAUUCUUUAUUAAUUUGACCUUAGCUCUAAAAUAUGCACACAUCGCCCG